UGCGCGGUGUUGCGUCUCGUCUGCAUUUGCAGUUGGAGACAGAAGAUGGACUGCAGCUACUCGAUGCAUCGUGCGUGCCUCACCUCCAUCUGCACUUGGACAGAGAGAUGGACUGGCGCCUAUGACGCCAUGGUCGACUCCGCGGCCGUCGCCGUCGGCGAGCCCGGGUGCACGGUGGCGCUCACGGACCACCACUGCUGCGUCGACGCUUCAGCGAGUCCUGCGACCGAGCCGAGGGCCUCGUCCAGGUGGCCGCCGCCGGCCUCGGCCCCGCCGCCUCCCGCCACAACGAGCUGUUCCGCGCGCUCGUGGACCUCCACCGCUGCCUCGACGCCUUCAGCGAGUCCCGCGACCGAGCCAAGGGCCUCGUCCAGGCGGCUGCCAUGGCCCCGCCGCCUCCCACCACGACAAGCGGUUCCGCGCCGUGCGCGUGGUCGACGAAGAUCUCCGGGCCGCCGCUGCCGGCUGGGAGGAGAACGAGAUGGAAGAGGAGAAGAAUCGCCCUCCGACCACGCUGCUGGCAGCCGAGGACAAAUAGGCCAAUCGAUCUACCUCGUCUCCUAUUCAGGUGAUGUUUAUCAUUCUUGUUUUUUCCAUGUGAUGUUCAUCGUUCCUCUUAUUUUCUCGGUUGAUGUGCUAAUCAUGUUAGUCUUCUAAAAGAUGAAUGAAAUUGUGACGGGAAAGGAGAGAUGGACCGGGAUGUUUUGCCUCGGCGUGCCACAUGGUGGCCGAGAUGCGGCAGCCCCAUGCUCUGUUCUGAUGGGCCUCCUCUGGUCGAUGGUUGCCGCUGGUUGAGUUUGGUACGGUUUCCUGUUGUCGCUUGCGUCGAGCCCUGGGUCCGUCUCUCCUUCUCAUUGAGCCUACUUCUCCUGUCGCUGGCGCUUCUUCUUAUCGUCCGUCCUGCUGCUUAACCAGCGUGCUUCUGCUUGCUGCCUCGGGUUGUACGAUCUCUUCUGUCGCUGCGUCGUUCGACUCAUCAAGGUUUUCUUCUUUCCUUUCUACUACAUGUGUGUGUUAUACUUUCAGUAUCUUCUGUGUCAUGUCUGCCUUGGUGAUCUUUUAAAUAUCUGUAUGUCAUGCUGAUCGUUUAAAUGUUCCGGAUAUGGUCGGGCGUUGUGUGUUGUUCUUUCUCGUGCUGCUUAUAUUUUGUGUAUGCGUGUGAGCAGGAUGUGUAUUCUUGUUUCCGUUGUUAUACCAGUUUUGGAGGCCGUGGUAACUCGAUGCCCCCCGCGCUCACUCUUUCUGUUGUACACAGAAGCGUAUUUGUCCAAUUCUCAGACUAAGUUUUUGAAAGAAACCGCAGUUCAUUACAAUGCCAAUUAUGGAUAUGGAUCCAUCUUGCUGUGCUGGAUGAAGGACUGGAUGUAAUAAGAAUUGCAUGUGACAAACAGGUGCCUCCUCUAUGCAUAAAGUUUUGCUAAUAUCAUUGAAUUUCUCCUGAGAUCUCUCUAGACCUUUCCAAAUGUAUUUUAGUUAGGUGUUUGUAUUAACUAGCAGAAGAAGGGAUGCAAAUGGAAAGAAUUUGAGAUGCAUAAACAUAAAAGCACUAAAAGAUUUGCUUGAAGCAAAGAUGUCUAGCCGGCAUACAUAUGGCAAGAACCUUCAGAGAUUGUCUUCUUUUCAGCUGCUAUUCAGAUAUAUACUUGCUCAUAGGUCACAACUCAUGAAGUUACUUCUUUUGGUUUUGAUUUUGAAAUAUAUGUGUCAUAGGUCACGACUGAUGAAGUUACUUCCUUUUGGUGAAGGUCUGAAUAUCAUCAGGGUCUUGGCUGAGAGGCUGACAUUUCGGAAGGUUCUCGUCUGUAUAGAUUAGUUGAUAGAAUGACAGUUUAAGUUUAUUGAAGCUCUUCUCUAGGAGGCGGGUUCUGCUUUGAUUUCUUGCUAUUUGCAGUUCGAUGCAUGUGGUAUCCCAUAUGAAAUUUUACAAUUUGUUUUAGCUUUUGUAGUUUUCUAUUCAUUAUCCCUACCCAUUGUGAUGUGUAUGUUGAUAUGCUUCAUGGAUAGAGGGAUUUAAUAUCACUUGCUUCUCAGUCUUCUCCACCCUCGACAUGCGUAGGCCAAAAAGGCGGAGACGAGUCAUGGAUCCUCCAGGCUAUGGCUGCUGGUUGCAGACAGGGUUUAAGCACAGGAAUCGCAAAAGUUGUGCCCCAUGAGGCCAGCGACCCCCAUGUGGCCAGCAACUAAAGGCCAGAUUCAUUUUCGUUGAAUGUAACCUGCCUGACAGUAAAUUAGUGUCACAUUGGUAGUUGCCGAUCUUUUAAAAUUUGAUUAACUAAUUUGGGAUCUAACAGAUUCUGUAGUUGUCUGUUGUUUCUUAUUUGCAGGUUAUCUUUAGCUUGGAAAAAAAUGAAUGGACGAGCUUCAGUAUGACAAGGAGAAAGCAAUCUUGUUCAGUUUUAAUCAGAACAGAUGAAGGACAACCAUGUAAAAGAUUCAACAUUUGGCUAAUUCUGGUUUCUGGUAAUGCUUUCUUGACAGUGGAGCAGUCAUGGGCCUGUUAUAGAGAUCUUGGUGAAGAACUCGUCACUGCAAUUUUGUCAAAUGGGCGUUGAGAUUGAAGUUUCUGCUUUUGUUGACUUUCUGAUAAAUUACAACAACAUCGACAAGGUAAAGUUAUGCUUCCUUGCUGUCUGAUGUAUCAUGUUUUUUAUGGUAAAGGGAUAACAAUUUAUAUGUGUGUAGGUUAUGUGGGAGCCUUUCAUAGAGCCCUCAUAUAUUUAGUUAAAUAUACUUUGAAAUGUGUUGAUCAUGCACUGGAUGUAUCUCCCAGUACUGUGUGUUGCUAAAUUCAAGCAAUCAGCUUAAUGUUAACAUAUCAGAGCCCUUGAUCGAGGUACAUGAUCUUGGCAUACUGUAUUUUUCAAACUUGCCAAGAGAUAAAUUAUUCUUCUGUCCUAUCUUCAAGUGAUUAACAUUAGUAGUUUUCUGCUGGCACUAUCAUCUUGAUUAAUGUGAUUCAGGAAUCAAGGCAGUGGUCUGCAGAUAGAAUGUAGCUACAUAUCUUAUCUCAGGGAGCAUUACACCUAUUUAGCUUAGAAGUUUUUUUCUUACAUUAAACUCAGCAGUGUGUGAUAAUUCGAGUCUCCAUGGAAGCAUCAGCCGGAUUUGGCCGGCUCACAUACGCACGCCUCCUCUUUCCCUGGUGGCUCAUGGAAGCGGCGGCGUACGAUGAUGGCUUCCAUAUGGAGUAGAGGAAUCAUCACAGAUGGUUCUUAUGUUACAUGUCCAAAGGAGAGCAUUGUUUCACGGAAGCAUGGGAUAACACCCACGCCAGUGACCAGUGAAGAAAGGGCUCAUGAACAAGAUGAAUAACUUUCAACCAUUUUAUGUUUACAGGGAAAGACACUUUUUGUUAAAUUAGUCUUGUCGAUUUUCGUCUGUGUUAUUGUAUUCUAUCUCUUCUAUUAUAUCCAAAUCACUAUAUGAUGUAAUUGACCACUCUUAUUAAGAACUGGGCACAGUGGUUUAUGUGUAUAUACAUCUAUUGUAGAUAGCAAGCCCCCGCUUUCCUCAA